UCUUUUUUAGGGUAAGACACAAUUAGCUUACCACUCAAUAGCACAUUCCUCACCUUCUAAACAACUCGGAUUUAACCAAUGGUUACAUUCUAAUUAACGUAAACGGAAUUUUACUCAUUGUUUAGAAUUAAUUCUACACAAACAAGUAGCAACAGAUGAAUUACCUUCAGAGAACAAGUAUGACAUCACUAUGGACUAGAUAUCAUUUUUUUUGAGUUUAAACUAAAAUCGAAGUCAACAAAUCCAAAUGAAUAGGAGAUAUAUCAAAACAACAGACACAUUAUAUAUUAAAACAGAUCUGGGAAAAUACAUAAGAAAACAUACCUAAACAACAAAUCAACAAAAAAUUUGAACACAAGAGGAAACAUCACCAAACAGCAGUCCCAAACCGGAGAAAAAAUUCUACCCAGGCGAAUCGAUAUGAAAUCAGCAGCCAAACAAACACGGCUUCGAAUUUAAACUGUUCGAAUCCAAACUAUGAAGCAUUCUACCAAAAUUCUACUGUUCUUCCAUUUUUUUUAUUCGUGAGUUUAAGAUCUCCAUUGAAGUUUGCCAACUCAGUUUCAGUUGUGCGCGUCCAAAACGUGAGUGAGGGAGUGACACUUUUUGCUGACUUCCAUGGAGAUGGGGGGUCAGCCACCCAUGGCCGAUGCCGUUAUUGAAAAAAAACAGAGAGAGGGGUGAUGAGAAUAGAUUGACGGCUAAGCUUUUAGGAGUGAAGGAGAUGGACUAGAUGCUAAAGGAUUUUUUUAUAUGUUUUGGUGGUGUUCUCUGAGAUUUUUCUCUGAUGAAGAAAGAAGAAGAGAGGUCCCCUUUAGAGCUCCCGUUUUCUUCUCCUGAAGGGCUCUAAUUCGCAGCUUUUGGUUGUAGGGUCUAUCUCUCAUAUCUUGUGUAUAUAUAGAUAUAUAGGUCUAGGUUGAUUUUUGUAGGGUUUU
rnacentral:lncRNA from 1 species